rnacentral:rRNA from 1 species
UUGGGAAUUUUGCACAAUGGGGGAAACCCUGAUGCAGCGACGCCGCGUGAUUUAGAAGGCCUUCGGGUUGUAAAAAUCUUUUGUAUAGGAAGAAAAUGACAGUACUAUACGAAUAAGGACCGGCUAAUUACGUGCCAGCAGCCGCGGUAAUACGUAAGGUCCGAGCGUUGUCCGGAAUCAUUGGGCGUAAAGGGUACGUAGGCGGGUAAGCAAGUUAGAAGUGAAAUCCUAUAGCUCAACUAUAGUAAGCUUUUAAAACUGCUCAUCUUGAGGUAUGGAAGGGAAAGUGGAAUUCCUAGUGUAGCGGUGAAAUGCGCAGAUAUUAGGAGGAAUACCGGUGGCGAAGGCGACUUUCUGGCCAUAACCUGACGCUGAGGUACGAAAGCGUGGGUAGCAAACAGG